rnacentral:rRNA from 1 species
AUGGAUUAGCGGCGAACGGGUGAGGAACACGUGAAGAAUCUGCCCUCCACUUUGGGAUAACACCGGGAAACCGGUGCUAAUACCGAAUAUUGAAACAUAAGUGGCAUCACUGAGUUUUGAAAGAAUUUCGGUGGAGGAUGACUUCGCGGCCUAUCAGCUAGUUGGUGAGGUAAUGGCUCACCAAGGCAACGACGGGUAGCCGGCCUGAGAGGGCGACCGGCCACACUGGGACUGAGACACGGCCCAGACUCCUACGGGAGGCAGCAGUGGGGAAUAUUGGGCAAUGGAGGAAACUCUGACCCAGCGACGCCGCGUGCGGGAUGAAGGCCUUCGGGUUGUAAACCGCUUUCAGUAGGGAAGAAGCGAAAGUGACGGUACCUACAAAAGAAGCACCGGCUAACUAUGUGCCAGCAGCCGCGGUAAUACAUAGGGUGCAAGCGUUGUCCGGAAUUAUUGGGCGUAAAGAGCUCGUAGGUCGUUUGUUACGUCGGAUGUGAAAACCUGAGGCU